rnacentral:pre_miRNA from 1 species
AUUUGGCACCUGUGGAAUAAUCAUUUUCGGUUGAUGAGAUUAUACACCGGUGCCAAGUAA